GCGCGAUUAGCUCAGUUGGUAGAGCAAUUCGUUUACACCGAAAAGGUCGGGAGUUCGAGCCUCUCAUCGCGCACAA
rnacentral:tRNA from 1 species